rnacentral:lncRNA from 11 species
CAAAACUGGCUCCAAGGCAAGAUCUAUUUACUCUGUUUCUGUGUGGGCUGGGUAGUGAAAGUUCACUCAGUCUGUGACACUGACAAAUCUUUCUACCACAAAUGGAUUUUGGGCUAAGUGCUUGGGUUAAAAGGUUACAGAAGAGGAAGCGAGAGUCACCAGAUUGUUCCAAAAAUGUAAAGCAGGAUCAGUCGAGAAAGAUGUUGAAGUGGCAGCAUUUUCCUUGAGAUGCAGCCAACUUAGAAGUGGGAUGUGGAUUAGUGUCAUCGGGAGCCGCUGAAAGAGCCGUGGAGGCAAGCUUCCGAUGGGGGCACUUUUCUUUUUGCACAGCCUGGAAACAACAACAGGGCAGCAGGAUUCUGUAGAAAGAAACUCCUUUUGAAAUGUUUUCCAUCUGCCUCUGCUUCUAAAUCUUCCCCAUAUGUUCAAGUGAUAGGAAGAUUGUCAAGGACAGAACGCCAUGCAUUUUCUAUUGAUGUUGUUGUUGUUGCAUAGAAAUAAUAGAUGAAUCAAUUAAUUUGGGCAAAUAAACAGAUGCCCUGAAUGAACUAUGAAGCAUGUAUGUGUGUGUGUGUGUGUAUAUAUAUAUAUUCCAAAUCAUAAUGAGCGAUAUGAAAGGAGGCAUCCUGUUCUGCAUCUGGGAGCAAUGGAAUAACUUUUAAAAUAAAGUUGUGCUGCAACA